rnacentral:rRNA from 1 species
UACAGAGACUGCAAGCGUUAUUCGGAUUUAUUGGGCGUAAAGGGUGCGUAGGCGGUACCGAAAGUUAGGUGUGAAAGUUCGAGGCUCAACCUCGAAAUUGCACCUAAUACUCCGGUGCUUGAGUCUCAUAGAGGAAUCUGGAAUUCACGGUGUAGCAGUGAAAUGCGUAGAUAUCGUGAAGAAGGCCUGUGGCGAAAGCAAGAUUCUGGGUGACGACUGACGCUGAGGCACGAAAGCCAGGGGAGCAAACGGG